rnacentral:rRNA from 1 species
GCUGGAUUCGCUAGUAAUCGCGCAUCAGCCACGGCGCGGUGAAUACGUUCCCGGGCCUUGUACACACCGCCCGUCAAGCCAUGGAAGCCGGGAGUGCCUGAAGUGUGCAACCGCAAGGAGCGCCCUAAGGUAAAACCGGUGACUGGGGCUAAGUCGUAACAAGGUAGC